GGCACCCUCGAGGCACAGUGGCUGGGGCUCAGGUUGGGGGCACUUGGCCUCUCCAGGCCUCGAAGGCUUCUGGGCUGAUGCGAGCUGGGGAACGGGAGGGACGGACGUGGGAGUGAGAAUGUCACACGGGAGGCAGCUGGUGGCACGAUGGGGGACAGAGUGAAAGCCUCACGGACAUGCACGUGGUGGAUGUAGAGCUGAGCGGACCCCCGGGCCCCACGGGCCGAAGCUUUGCUGUGCACACCCACAGAGAGAACCCUGCCGAGCCAGGCGCGGUCACCGGCUCCGCCACCGUCACGGCCUUCUGGCGGAGCCUCCUGGGUGCGGCCAGGCCCCUCUCCCCCGGCCCUGGGCUCUUGUGUUCUGCAGAGCUUGGGGGUCCCGGGUUCUCGCUAGUUCUGCAGUUCUGGUUCUGUAUUUGUUGACCUUUAUUUCUGACUUUUAUUUCCUUAACCUCUCUCCACGACUUUGAAUCCUGGCACUGUAGAUGUCUCCAUUUCUGUCCACGUCCCCUCUCUGAGUCUCUGUGCCCGCCUCUGAUCAAGACUCUCUCUCUCUCUGUCUCUGUCCACCCCCAGGGCUCUGUCCCGCUCUCUCCGGGUCUUCCUCCACCGCCCCCCUGGCCUGUCCCCUCCUCCCACCACUGCCUCCCCCAAGCGU
rnacentral:sRNA from 1 species